AUGGGUACCGCGACUCACCCCCCAACCACGAGCCCCGAGGACACCCGUGGGCGCGGAAGAGGCCAACAGAUGCAGAGGGCAGACCCGCAGGGCGAGGCCCGGCCGGCGGCAGGGCAGGGUCGCGGCAGUCUCCCCCUUCCUCUGCAGGUGGUGGGCCGCGGGGAAGCCGGGAGGGCCGCAGGCGGGGUAGCGCCCGUUUCCCCCUUCCCUGCAGGUGCUCGGCCGCGGGGAGCCCGAGAGGGCCGCAGGCGGGGCGGCGGCCGUCUCCGGUCCUCUGCAGGUGGUGGGCCGCGGGGCCGGCUCUCCGGAGCCCGGGAGGGCCGCGGGCGCGGUCACAGCGAGCUCAGGUGCGGCAGCGCGUCCAGGGGCCCCGCCCGGUCGCGCGCGGCGGCCGCCGACUCCACGCCGCGCAGCCACUCGGUGCACUUGCGCACCAGGCCCUCGUCGGCGGCCGCGGCCUCCUCCUCGUACUCCACGUCGUCGUAUUUGUGCCGUUCGUUGAGCAGCGACACCUUGAGCAGCGAGCGCAGGUCGGCGGGCCGCGGGCCGGGGACGGGGACGGGCGGCGGCGGCGGGGCCAGACGGCGGCCGAGGCCCGCGGCCCGGGGGCAGGGGGCGGGCGGGCGCCCGGCGUCGGCUGGGGGCGCCCGCCGGGGCCGAGCCAGCAGCUGCCUCUCCAGGUGGCGCCGCUGGAUGACCAGCACGGCCUCGGGCGUGAGGCUCAGCGAGAAGCGCAGGGCGGCGUCCGGCCCGGCGCCCGAGGCGGCGGUCCGCGCCCCUGAGGCCGCGGUCCCCGCGGGGCCGUCGCCGGAACCGGCCGGCCGUGACGCGCACGGGGCCGGGCCGCGCGGGGAGGCCGGGCCGGGGGCGCGGCGGGCCGGCGGCCGCUUCAGAGUGGCGGAGGGCCAGGAGCUGGACAGCGGCCCCGGCGGCCGCUCGGGAGGCCUCCUCUUCUUCUCGGCGGCCACGGCGGGCGGCGAGGGUCCGGGCGGGGCGCAGGCGGGCGCCGCCGCCUUGCGCGGGGCGCCGGGCUUCCGGGGCGGCGGGCGCGCGGCGGGGACCCCGGGGGCCGGGGUGGGCGGCGGCGGCGGCGCGGGCGGGAACGGCAUGGUGGUCAGCGCCCUGGAAGGAGAGGGGCGGCUACCGUGUGGGCGCGCCGAGCCCGGCGCCCUCCCCGGGGGGCCGCGGUCCGCCCCCCGCCCGCCCUCCGCACCCACCUGGGCUGGGCCGCGGCAUCUCCGGCGCACACACGCCCCCCGCGUCCACACCCAGGGCCUUGCGGCCGGGCACCCCGCUGCCUUCCUCCGUCCUGCCUUCCUUCCGGGGCCAGGGGCUCUGCCGGCUCUCCUCCGGGGACAGCGGCGGCCGGUCCACGCGGAGCCGGGCGCGCCCGCGGGAGGAGGAGCCGCUGUGCCCGCACGCCCGGCGCCGCGACUGGGCGGCCGAGGCUCCCCGGGCGACCUUCCACCGCGGGGGCUAAUCCAUCAGAGGCGGGGAAGGCCGGGCGUGUCCUCCGCCCGAGGCGGGGUCCUCGCACGUGGGCCAGAAAGUCGUGUGCCACCUCUCGGCGCUUCUAAGGUGGUGCGCAGGCCGGCGGCGGCGGGGGGACCGCGGGCCCCGCGCGCGGCCCGGCAUCCCGGUGUCGCGGGAGGAAGCUGGCCAGAGCUCAGAGGCGGGCACAGGCAUUUCAGGGCAUCCUUCUGGUUUUGUUUUUGGAUCAUGUUGAAAGACAAUCAUUUUAAAAUUAAAAACCUCGUAUUCCUUGACGAGGCAAAAAAAAAAAAAAGGCCAGUUUCGGUGAAAUCGUGA
ensembl:lncRNA